AGUGAACGCUGGCGGUAGGCCUAACACAUGCAAGUCGAACGGCAGCACAGUAAGAGCUUGCUCUUACGGGUGGCGAGUGGCGGACGGGUGAGGAAUACAUCGGAAUCUACUUUUUCGUGGGGGAUAACGUAGGGAAACUUACGCUAAUACCGCAUACGACCUACGGGUGAAAGCAGGGGAUCUUCGGACCUUGCGCGAUUGAAUGAGCCGAUGUCGGAUUAGCUAGUUGGCGGGGUAAAGGCCCACCAAGGCGACGAUCCGUAGCUGGUCUGAGAGGAUGAGCAGCCACACUGGAACGGAGACACGGUCCGGACUCCUACGGGAGGCAGCAGUGGGGAAUAUUGGACAAUGGGCGCAAGCCUGAUCCAGCCAUACCGCGUGGGUGAAGAAGGCCUUCGGGUUGUAAAGCCCUUUUGUUGGGAAAGAAAAGCAGCAGGUUAAUACCCCGCUGUUCUGACGGUACCCAAAGAAUAAGCACCGGCUAACUUCGUG
rnacentral:rRNA from 1 species